UUUCUAUGUUUCUCUGCCAUUCGGUUGCAUGCCGUUUGAGUUUUUGCUUCUCUAUACGUGCGUGUCCAUCCACGUGUUGCAUGGAUGGUGGUCAUUGUACGACGUUGUUAUACGUCGAGCGCGUUGUGUUUUUAGGAGGUCGCCACGUUAUUCGGUACUACCACCGUCUGUUUAGAGGUUGACGUGUGUUCGGCUUCCAGGCGGUGCCGCUCUUGCCAUAUGGUCUCGAAACAGUUUUUCUCGAUCGUUCUGCAUCCUUUUGGUUGAUUCGCUUUAGGUUUCUUGUUCCUCGGAGACGCUAUAUAUAGGUGGCUCUCCCCGUUCGUUUUCUUUGCCUCACGGGCUGCGGUUUCUAUUUUAUGCCUAUUGAUGGUUCGUCCUGCCUCUGCCCGGAGCCGGAGCGACUUGCCUCGCCCAGGCAGCCAUCCUGAUCCUGGGAUUCGAGGAGCCGUCAUUAAUCGGGCGUGUAAUGGUCGGAGCAGCGCUGCUGCUCGAGGUCGUCGUGCGUUAAUGAGAGAGGAUGCCGUUGGUGGCCAACGGUCCGAUGUUCGUUCAUUGCGUCGGGUCGCCAUGCGGUUCGUCGUCCUAUCAGCCAUGCGGUCAAUGACGGCCACAACCUCGGCGCCCCGGGCUACAAUGAAAGCGGCUGUGGCGGGGAUGGGACGGACGAUGCUCCUGCUGCGUGCGGAGCUCGCGUGGAGGCGGCUCAUGCAUCUGGUGCGCCUGCAGGAGGCAGCGGUAUUGAACUCUUGAUGGCGCGCAUGGGCAUGGCAUAUGUCGUGAGGCGAAGCAGCCCGUGGGCGCGAGGUCGCCCGCUCGAUGGUGCCGUCGUGCGGGUUUCCGGGGAUCCGUCUUGGGUGCUGGAGCUAUCACGCAGCCGCCACUCCAGUCACUGCCUCCGGCCGCUUGCAAGUCCUGCGGAGACAACUGUUCUCUAGGCCCGUUUACCUGUGGGAGCCGCGCCGGUGCUUGGAGAGAGAAGGUUGCGGCGGUAUGGCGCUCAUGAUGCAUGCCACGGUCCGCGGUCUACCUCGGUCAAGGUUAAGCUCGAGGGCGGGAGCUGGCGGUGCGCUGGGGAACCGCCGGAACGAGAUUAGUUUGGCAAGAUCCGGAUGGGAGGAAUCUCCGCUGCUUCCCGGGGUCGCCGUCGUGGUCGUGCCGCCGUGCUCCACAGUCUGGAGCAUUUUACAGUGCAUCCGGACGAUAUGGACCGUCCGUCGGAGCGAAUUCGACAGUCCAGAUCCGAUGCAAUACGCUGAUGUCACGUGUAUUAUAUCAGACCCCGAGGGGCAUUUUCGGAAGAAAAAAUAUUUCGAACUGA